UACAGAGGGUGCGAGCGUUGUCCGGAAUCACUGGGCGUAAAGGGCGCGUAGGUGGCGCGACAAGUCAGUGGUGAAAGUUCGACGCUCAACGUCGAAUCGGCCACUGAUACUGUUGGGCUUGAGCACUGUAGAGGCUAAUGGAAUUCCCGGUGUAGCGGUGGAAUGCGUAGAGAUCGGGAAGAACACCGGAGGCGAAGGCGGCUUGCUGGGCUUGGUCUGACGCUGAGGCGCGAAAGCCAGGGGAGCAAACGGG
rnacentral:rRNA from 1 species